rnacentral:rRNA from 1 species
UACGGGGGGGAGCAAGCGUUGUUCGGAUUUACUGGGCGUAAAGGGCGCGUAGGCGGUCGUGACAAGUCACUUGUGAAAUCUCCGGGCUUAACUCGGAACGGUCAAGUGAUACUGUCGGACUAGAGUACAGAAGGGGCAACUGGAAUUCUCGGUGUAGCGGUGAAAUGCGCAGAUAUCAGGAAGAACACCCGUGGCUAAGGCGGCUCUCUAGUACGGUACUGGACGCUGAGACGCGAAAGCGUGGGGAGCGAACAGG